UUCUCCCUGUCCUGUUCGACGGCUGUAGUGCCCGGGCGGAAUAAACAAUGAACGGGAGACCAUUCUUGUCGUGGUGUGCUGCCCCAUUGCGUGGGAUUUGCCUGAAGCGGCAUAUGGUCGCCCACCUGUUAAGGAACUCGCCGGAGGUCCUUUUAGGUUGACGGCAGGACGGGGAGAGU
rnacentral:other from 1 species